rnacentral:rRNA from 1 species
UGGGGAAUCUUCCGCAAUGGACGAAAGUCUGACGGAGCAACGCCGCGUGAGUGAAGAAGGUUUUCGGAUCGUAAAACUCUGUCUUUUGGGGCGAACGUGAGUAUGGUGAACAAUCAUAGUCAGUGACGGUACCAAAGGGGGAAGCCACGGCUAACUACGUGCCAGCAGCCGCGGUAAUACGUAGGUGGCAAGCGUUGUCCGGAAUUAUUGGGCGUAAAGAGCGCGUAGGCGGGAUAGUCAGUCUGUUGUAAAGUGCGGGGCUCAACCCCGUGAUGGCAAUGGAAACAGCUAUUCUUGAGUGCAGGAGAGGAAAGUGGAAUUCCCAGUGUAGCGGUGAAAUGCGUAGAUAUUGGGAGGAACACCAGUGGCGAAGGCGACUUUCUGGACUGUGUCUGACGCUGAGGCGCGAAAGCCAGGGGAGCGAACGGGAUUAGAUACCCCGGUAGUCCUGGCCGUAAACGAUGGGUACUAGGUGUGGGAGGUAUCGACCCCUUCCGUGCCGGAGUUAACGCAAUAAGUACCCCGCCUGGGGAGUACGGUCGCAAGACUGAAACUCAAAGGAAUUGACGGGGUCAUAGCUGUUUCCUG